CUCCGCUUCACUUCAACGAGCAAUUCCUCAUCCGCUCGAACUCCGCCGAAAACCCUAAUUCCUCACUUGACGAAUCCAAAACCCUAACUCCCCAAUGUCUUCUCUUUCUUUCCCCCUCCCUCUCUCGAGUUCUUUUUCUUGUAAGCAGCCGCUCCGAUUCGAGAUUUCCUCUCGGGUUUUCUUCCAAGUGCGUGGCAAGUGGCCGGAGGCGAGGUGGCACGCGUUGCUUGCACAUCCGAGGAAAUCUUACGUGACUUCGGAAACCGCUUUACCGGCAUGAUCACGGUCCGCUGCCGCUCACGUUCGGUUCUUGUAGUUCCCAUUGUUUUGUGUUGAUAUCGGUUUGCUUACCUUGAUCUUGUUGGUUUCUGAUAUGCUUUGUUCUUUCCUUAUAACGUGUUGGUGGUGUUGCAAUGUCGGGAAGUUCUACCGACGAUGUGAUCCAGGUGACUUGCCUCUUUCUUGGGUAUGUUUCGUGGGGUGAUAGGGUGAUGAUGUUUCAGUUUAUUGGUUACAGGAUUUCUGCCGCUGUUGGUGCUGCGCUGACAAUUAUCCUCUUUGUGAAAUGAGUAAAUUUUUGGAGGUUGUUUACGUUUUUGGGGAUUAAUCUGAUGUUUUUGUAUUGGUUUCGUUUAUUUAAUGAAAUCUCCCGAAAAUUUUGAUGACAAUUUCUUUCUACUGAACAAAAACACUUGGGAUUAUUUAAUACUGAAGAUUUUAGUCAGAAAGAACAUUACAAUCUAUGAUUCAAACUUUUUUGGUUAGAAAACACAUGCUAGGAGUUUGCAUGUUCUGUUUUGAUUUGCUUGGUAUCCAUAAACUAUUAUAAUAUCUUGCCGUUAAUCUCUCUUUUAUGUUCUUUUUCCAUUGCCAAAGAAGCUCAGAAUUAUGUUAUGAGGGUUAACAUGAGUAAAAAUGUGAUCUUUGGUUUAAUACCACUUGACAUAUUCAAUUCAAGAAACUUUAUAGCAUUCUUUAAGUUUUCAAAUGCAUACCUGUUUCGAAUCAUCAGGCAUCCAAAUGCCUGAUGGUACUGCUGUUAGAGAAGAAUCAUCAGGCUUCCAGUUCCCUAGCAUUCAAAAUGUUCUACCUUUCUCCAAGUUUGAUCAUUCAUUUUUGGAUUGUUUUAGGCAAAGAUUGUGACGGUAAUUGGCUGAAGUUCUGUUCACUUGAAGACAAGACUGGUGUUUCCUUGAUACUAGUAAUCUGGUUUAUAGCACUUGCAAGACCCAUUGCCAAAAAGUAUCAGUCCCGAGUCCUGACAUGUUUACCUUGCAGCAAUUUGACACUACUGGAGGCGGCUAUAUAAUAUGCUCAGCAAUCUUCCCUAUUAUAUAUCAAGAUCUAAAUGAAAUUGCCAAGAAGCGAUCCAGAGAGAGGAACCCUGUCACCGGCAGAAUCAAGAUAUGCAGGCCCUUAGAAGUCAUUAAAGAUGCCUCCUUCCUAAGAGGAUGUUAAUAGCAGGGAAGAUGAUGAGCAAAGAGUAUGCAGAUAUGCAAGCCUGAGGUAUACUCUUAUUUGGAUGUUAGAAGGAAAUGUUAAAGUUCAACAUCUAACACCAAUAAUCUGAAUGGACUUCUGCAAUUGCAUACAAAUCAAGGCAAAAAGAAAGCAGUAACAUCCUGAAGUCUGCAAUGUUACACUCGAUAUCAAGAAUCACAAGGCUCACACGAGGCACGAUGGAAGGAGAUGAUUGGGAGAGAUAUACCAUUCUCUAUAUGAGGUGGCUGGAGACCUGAUGGAGUGAUGAGUCGAAGGAGAUGAGUGUACACCAAAUAGGAAUACUGAAAGUAAGCAGGGGGGAUGAUCCUUUUGGCUAGCUUUCUUCCGGUUGAAUUUAUUGAUUGGGACGAAGAAAGGAAUGGGAAAAGAGGGGCAAACUUCUGAUGAUAUCAGAUAAGUAGGGAUCUUCUCGUCUUCCUGGGGUGAGUCAAGCUCACUUGUCAUGGUGUUCCUCCUUUUGCUGGUCCUCUUACUCAAGACAAUGUGUAAGCA